UCCACCUGAUCCCAUCCCGAACUCAGCAG
rnacentral:rRNA from 1 species